rnacentral:rRNA from 1 species
AGCAGCCGCGGUAAUUCCAGCUCCAAUAGCGUAUAUUAAAGUUGUUGCAGUUAAAAAGCUCGUAGUUGAAUUUCGGGAUCAAUUUAUUGGUCGUGCUAUUGUACGUACUGGUAUUAUUGAUUCCUACCUUCUGACGAACCAUGAUGUCAUUAAUUUGGUGUCUUGGGGAAUCAGGACUGUUACUUUGAAAAAUUAGAGUGUUUAAAGCAGGCUCACGCUUGAAUACAUUAGCAUGGAAUAACGAAAUAGGACGUUUGAUUCUAUUUUGUUGGUUUCUAGGAUCGACGUAAUGAUUAAUAGGGAUAGUUGGGGGCAUUAGUAUUCAAUUGUCAGAGGUGAAAUUCUUGGAUUUAUUGAAGACUAACUACUGCGAAAGCAUUUGCCAAGGAUGUCUUCAUUAAUCAAGAACGAAAGUUAGGGGAUCGAAGACGAUCAGAUACCGUCGUAGUC